CCUAACACAUGCAAGUCGAGCGGAUGAAGGGAGCUUGCUCCUGGAUUCAGCGGCGGACGGGUGAGUAAUGCCUAGGAAUCUGCCUGGUAGUGGGGGAUAACGUCCGGAAACGGGCGCUAAUACCGCAUACGUCCUGAGGGAGAAAGUGGGGGAUCUUCGGACCUCACGCUAUCAGAUGAGCCUAGGUCGGAUUAGCUAGUUGGUGGGGUAAAGGCCUACCAAGGCGACGAUCCGUAACUGGUCUGAGAGGAUGAUCAGUCACACUGGAACUGAGACACGGUCCAGACUCCUACGGGAGGCAGCAGUGGGGAAUAUUGGACAAUGGGCGAAAGCCUGAUCCAGCCAUGCCGCGUGUGUGAAGAAGGUCUUCGGAUUGUAAAGCACUUUAAGUUGGGAGGAAGGGCAGUAAGUUAAUACCUUGCUGUUUUGACGUUACCAACAGAAUAAGCACCGGCUAACUUCGUGCCAGCAGCCGCGGUAAUACGAAGGGUGCAAGCGUUAAU
rnacentral:rRNA from 1 species